ACGGGAGGCAGCAGUGAGGAAUAUUGGUCAAUGGGCGCAGGCCUGAACCAGCCAAGUCGCGUGAGGGAUGACGGUCCUACGGAUUGUAAACCUCUUUUGCCGGGGAGUAAUGUGCGGGACGAGUCCCGUAUUGAGAGUACCCGGAGAAAAAGCAUCGGCUAACUCCGUGCCAGCAGCCGCGGUAAUACGGAGGAUGCGAGCGUUAUCCGGAUUUAUUGGGUUUAAAGGGUGCGCAGGCGGCGCGUCAAGUCAGCGGUCAAAUCCCGGGGCUCAACCUCGGUUCGCCGUUGAAACUGCCGUGCUCGAGUUCGUGCGAGGAGAGCGGAAUGCGUGGUGUAGCGGUGAAAUGCAUAGAUAUCACGCAGAACGCCGAUUGCGAAGGCAGCCCUCCAGCACUGGACUGACGCUGAGGCACGAAAGCGUGGGUAUCGAACAGGAUUAGAUACCCUGGUA
rnacentral:rRNA from 1 species